AUUGGUCAGAAUGCACAACAUAGCCCAGCUAAGUAGGCUACUUAAUCUACUUAAUGGGUUGCUUAUAAUGUAGGUUACCGUUUCACCAGCUGCUGGGGUGGUGCCACAAGUAGCAUGUUAUGACACAAAGCCUGCCAGUGUAAUUAAAAUAACUAGAUCAUAAUAUAAUAUGAGAGGAUUGAAUCAGCCUCACUCUCUCUCUCUCUUUCUCUCUCUUUGACUAUCUCUCUCUCUCUCUCUCUCUCUCUCUCUCUCUCUCUCUCUCUCUCUCUCUGUAUCACCCCUGCCUUCGUGGUUUAAUUUGACGUUUCAACAUCCCAUCUAUCCCUUAAUGUGCGUUUUCUAUUUAAAUUCCUGUCGUCGUCACCCUGCUGUCCCGGAAGUCUGCGGUGUCUUAUCCUGUCACUCACAUUGACAGGCAGCCAGGCAGAGGCAGACAGGGAGGAAAGGGGCUCUGUGUGGGUGGGUGGGGGUGGGGGGUGGGUGCGUGUGUUUGAGAGAGGCAGGAAACCAUGCAGCGAGCGAGCAGCGAUCUCUCUCUUUACCCUGCUAGUGUCCUUGCCCGCUCAACCCAGCCUGACAGCCUCAGCGCCUCACAUGGCCCUCUGGCUCAUACAUAUGGAGGAGGAUAGGGAGAGGAGAGGAAUAACAACCACAGAAAGUGUGUGUGUGUGUGUGUCCCUCAAUCCCUCAGUUCUUCUUCCUGAUAAUAGGCUCGACUGUCUGACCAAGGGACCCCACAUCAGUUGGAACCGAAAGAACAACCCAGACCCUUGGAGCACAUACGGUCCACACUAUCAGUACAAGUUGGUGGCCGUCAAUAUGGACUACAAGGCUCUGAAGAAGGAGGGCCCUGACUUCUAAAGGUCCUUCAGGCAACUCCAGGAGCACCAAGUUUGGCAGGACCUCCUGUCAUCCUAGUGGCAGGGUCGGGGCAGCCUGAGCCUCGGUCGGGUCCUCUGUCUGUCCCCUCUGCAGUCUCUUCAGAAUGCACACCAUUUCAUAUUAACUGUCUUUCCCGUGCACUAACCUACAGUUAUAGAAGCAAUUGUCUGCAUGUGCACAGCUAAUACUGUUAUUAUAACCUACCUGUCUCUUCAGACACCACCCUACAGUAUACAUCUCUUCAUGCAUAAAAACCCUAAAGAGAUGUCAUGUAACAGGCUCUUUCACUUUCACAACCCUACAGUUAUUGUAACCUGUCUCUUCACGACCCACAACAGCACUGUUAUAGAUCUGUCUCUUUAUUUUCACCCUAAGGUGAUGUAUCCUACUUCAUGCACAACAGCAACCCUAAAGUGAUGUAUCCUUCUUCAUGCACAGCAACCCUAAAGUGAU
rnacentral:lncRNA from 13 species